rnacentral:rRNA from 1 species
GCACGGAGUUAGCCGGUGCUUCUUCUGCGAGUAACGUCACAAUUGACACGUAUUAGGCGCCAACCUUUCCUCCUCGCUGAAAGUGCUUUACAACCCGAAGGCCUUCUUCACACACGCGGCAUGGCUGCAUCAGGGUUUCCCCCAUUGUGCAAUAUUCCCCA